GAAUAAGCCACGGCUAACUACGUGCCAGCAGCCGCGGUAAUACGUAGGUGGCAAGCGUUGUCCGGAUUUAUUGGGCGUAAAGCGAGCGCAGGCGGUUUCUUAAGUCUGAUGUGAAAGCCUUCGGCUCAACCGAAGAAGUGCAUCGGAAACUGGGAAACUUGAGUGCAGAAGAGGACAGUGGAACUCCAUGUGUAGCGGUGAAAUGCGUAGAUAUAUGGAAGAACACCAGUGGCGAAGGCGGCUGUCUGGUCUGUAACUGACGCUGAGGCUCGAAAGCAUGGGUAGCAAGCAGGAUUAGAUACCCUGGUAGUCCAUGCCGUAAACGAUGAGUGCUAGGUGUUGGAGGGUUUCCGCCCUUCAGUGCCGCAGCUAACGCAUUAAGCACUCCGCCUGGGGAGUACGACCGCAAGGUUGAAACUCAAAGGAAUUGACGG
rnacentral:rRNA from 1 species